rnacentral:rRNA from 1 species
AAUUAACGCUGGCGGUAUGCAUAACACAUGCAAGUCGAACGGUUCCGACAGAACAUCGUCGGGAUAGUGGCAAACGGGUGAGUAAUGUAUGAACAACCUCCCUUCCGGAGAGGAAUAACCCCGAGAAAUUCGGGGCUAAUGCCUCGAAGUCUCUAAUCCCACAAGGAGUUAGAGGGAAAGUCCUGAUGUUAAGUCGGGACGCCGGAAGCAGGGUUCAUAUCCUAUCAGCUUGUUGGUGAGGUAACAGCUUACCAAGGCUACGACGGGUAGGGGCGCUGAAAGGCUCGACCCCCACACUGGCACUGCGACACGGGCCAGACUCCUACGGGAGGCAGCAGUGAGGAAUCUUGGGCAAUGGGCGAAAGCCUGACCCAGCAAUACCGCGUGGACGAUGAAGGUCUUCGGAUCGUAAAGUCCUGUUAGGGGGGAAGAACCUCCGAUUCGUCGGGGGAUGACGGUACCCCCAGAGGAAGCCCCGGCCAAUUACGUGCCAGCAGCCGCGGUAAUACGUGAGGGGCAAGCGUUAUUCGGAAUUACUAGGCCUAAAGCGCAUGUAGGGGUCCUGUUAAGUCAGAUGUGAAAUCCUUCGGCUCAACCGGAGAAUGUCAUCUGAAACUGACGGGAUUGAGUAUAGAAGAGGGAAAUGGAAUUCCCGGUGGAGCGGUGAAAUGCGUUGAUAUCGGGAAGAACACCAGUGGCGAAGGCGAUUUCCUGGUCUAAUACUGACCCUGAGAUGCGAAAGCUAGGGGAGCGAACAGGAUUAGAUACCCUGGUAGUCCUAGCCGUAAACGAUGGACACUGGAUGUAUCCCGGUUUUCGGGGUGUGUCGAAGCGAAGGCGUUAAGUGUCCCGCCUGGGGAGACGGUCGCAAGGCU